rnacentral:tRNA from 1 species
CAAAAUGUAGUUUAAACUAAAACACUUCACUUACACUGAAAAAACAUCUGUAAAAUCAGACCAUUUUGA